GGGUUGUGAGGUUAAGCGACUAAGCGUACACGGUGGAUGCCCUGGCAGUCAGAGGCGAUGAAGGACGUGCUAAUCUGCGAUAAGCGUCGGUAAGGUGAUAUGAACCAUUAUAACCGGCGAUUUCCGAAUGGGGAAACCCAGUGUGAUUCGUCACACUAUCAUUAACUGAAUCCAUAGGUUAAUGAGGCGAACCGGGGGAACUGAAACAUCUAAGUACCCCGAGGAAAAGAAAUCAACCGAGAUUCCCCCAGUAGCGGCGAGCGAACGGGGAGCAGCCCAGAGCCUGAAUCAGUGUGUGUGUUAGUGGAAGCGUCUGGAAAGGCGUGCGAUACAGGGUGACAGCCCCGUACACAAAAAUGCACAUAUUGUGAGCUCGAUGAGUAGGGCGGGACACGUGGUAUCCUGUCUGAAUAUGGGGGGACCAUCCUCCAAGGCUAAAUACUCCUGACUGACCGAUAGUGAACCAGUACCGUGAGGGAAAGGCGAAAAGAACCCCGGCGAGGGGAGUGAAAAAGAACCUGAAACCGUGUACGUACAAGCAGUGGGAGCACGCUUAGGCGUGUGACUGCGUACCUUUUGUAUAAUGGGUCAGCGACUUAUAUUCUGUAGCAAGGUUAACCGAAUAGGGGAGCCGAAGGGAAACCGAGUCUUAACUGGGCGUUAAGUUGCAGGGUAUAGACCCGAAACCCGGUG
rnacentral:rRNA from 1 species